CGCACCUCCACGCCCGGUCCCCUCCUCUGCUUGUUUUUGCAACACGAAGAAAUUAACAACUACUGAUUGGGCCCAUAAAGUUCCCUCACUGGAGAGACAAGAUGUGAACAACUUCUCAUCGCUACUGAACACAGACCAAGGAGUUUAACACUUGCACUUGACGAGUUACAACAGCAGCCAGGGGACCAUUUUAUCUCCUUGACUGGGAGCUCAGGGUGUGCAGAGGUGGAACCAGCCUGUGAAGUCAAUUGGAACAGUGGGAAGGCCUCUCAUUACCUGGGCCAGGAUGAGGGGAAGAGAGGGAUCAGGGGGGCAUGGAGGGAGCAGCCCCACAACAGUAAGCACAGCUCUUCAAUUGCUUUCAGUUUUAAGAGGCCACCUACUCAGUUUCAACAAAGUUUUAGCAACAACUAAAACACCAUUUACGUGGCUGUUUUCGAUCCUUCCUUGUCACUACUCAGCCUCCAAAUGUUCAUUAACUUGUGGGACAGUUGGAGGACCCUUACUCCCCCCCACACACAUAGCCACCACUUAGGCAAG
ensembl:lncRNA